AGAGCACCUAAACCCAAGAGCUGCUGCUUCUCGUAGCCGCAGCUUAAACAGCGUUGCCGACAGCAAUUGCAUCUCUUUUGGGGGGCUGGGCAGUGCCCCUUAGAGUGAAUUUGGAGGUUCUACAUGG